GAUGGGGAUGCGUUCCAUUAGAUAGUAGGCGGGGUAACGGCCCACCUAGUCUUCGAUGGAUAGGGGUUCUGAGAGGAAGGUCCCCCACAUUGGAACUGAGACACGGUCCAAACUCCUACGGGAGGCAGCAGUGAGGAAUAUUGGUCAAUGGACGAGAGUCUGAACCAGCCAAGUAGCGUGAAGGAUGAAGGUUCUAUGGAUUGUAAACUUCUUUUAUACGGGAAUAAACGAAUCCACGCGUGGAUUUUUGCAUGUACCGUAUGAAUAAGGAUCGGCUAACUCCGUGCCAGCAGCCGCGGUAAUACGGAGGAUCCGAGCGUUAUCCGGAUUUAUUGGGUUUAAAGGGAGCGUAGAUGGGUUGUUAAGUCAGUUGUGAAAGUUUGCGGCUCAACCGUAAAAUUGCAAUUGAUACUGGCAGUCUUGAGUACAGUUGAGGUAGGCGGAAUUCGUGGUGUAGCGGUGAAAUGCUUAGAUAUCACGAAGAACUCCGAUUGCGAAGGCAGCUUACUAACCUGUAACUGACAUUGAUGCUCGAAAGUGUGGGUAUCAAACAGGAUUAGAUACCCUGGUAGUCCACACGGUAAACGAUGGAUGCCC
rnacentral:rRNA from 1 species